rnacentral:lncRNA from 1 species
GACUGUAGUGUGCCUGGCCGGUUCCUCCUUCUGGAAACAAUUGCAGGUUCCCCUUUGAGGGUCCAGGGUGCAGUCUGCAGACACUGCAAGUGCUGGGAGGGACGGGGGCAGGACAGCAGGUGGUAGCAAGUGUAGAAGGCCAGGUAAGAGACAGGCUGGCCGCUUCCCUCGGGGGCAGCUGUGAGCGCAGAGGGACAGACCCCAGGGGCUUCAGGCGCUCUAUGGGAGGUGGAGAACCGAGGGCUGGGGGCCAUGGGGCCAUGGCAGAGAUGUGUCACGUGACUCUGGCUUCCGGCUAGAAAUGCUGGGAAGUGGCAGUGAUACCUGCCGAGACAGGUACUGGCCGGGUGAGGGUCAGGGAGGCCAGCCACUUCUUGCUCAGCGUUCAGGCUGCAGCGCGGCGGGAUGCGCGAAAGGGCAGAAGAUCAGCGGGUGCGGACGGCGAACGCAAGCCCCGCGAGGACCCAGGCCCCUGGCUGAAAUCUCAGCGCCGGAAACCGUGUCCUUCACGCAGCUGUAUGUUCCAGGCACCGUCCCGAGCUCAUUGCCUGGAGAGACGGAUCACUGGACACCUGUACUUAGGUGGGUGUGCUGUGGCUGGAGGGGGCAGAGGGCCCGCUCCAGCACCUUCAGCAGGAAGAAGUGACUCUGAGUGAGGUCGUUCCCCCCCAGGACGAUUGCAGCCAUGACUAAGUGAUUGAUCCCAGGAUUGGCUCCAACACUGUGAGAGCAAACCCGGCAGCGGGCCCCCCACUCGCGAGGCCCCGUCCUUGCCGACGAGCCUGUGUCCCUCCUGGCCCCGGAGCCUCGGCUGCGGCCUGCUGACGUUUCUGGCCGGGAGGAGUGACCGUCCCGGAGCUGGGCUGCGUCCCACCAGACCGCCAUCCUUCCAGGAAGAUGGCCCCACACCAGGGGGACCAUGUUCUCUCCCGCCCGGGCCUGCAACACAUUCUCAAGAGUCUGUUUCACUUCUUGGACUUUGAGACCAAGAGAUUUAUGGGCCAAAGUUUUUUUUCAGGGGAGCUGUCUUUUGAAUUAUCGUGUAAUUAAGAUGCUAAUGGCUGUUUAUAGAACCCUCUCUUCUUGGCCCAACUGCUUGGUGAAUAAUAAAGAGCCUCCCCUUUGUUAUGGUGGAAAUAGC